rnacentral:rRNA from 1 species
UACGUGAGGGGCGAACGUUGUUCGGUGUCACUGGGCUUAAAGGGCGCGUAGGUGGCUGUGCAAGUAAGGUGUGAAAGCCCUCGGCUUACCCGGGGAAUUGCGCCUUAAACUGCAUGGCUUGAGGGUCUCAGGGGAUAGGGGAACUCCAGGUGUAGCGGUGAAAUGCGCAGAUAUCUGGGGAAGGCCGGCGGCGAAGGCGCCUAUCUGGGAGAUACCUGACACUGAGGCGCGAAGGCCAGGGGAGCAAACGGG